rnacentral:rRNA from 1 species
GAUGAACGCUGGCGGCGUGCCUAAUACAUGCAAGUCGAGCGGUAAGGCUCCUGCAGAUUAUUUAAGCGGCAAGGUAACACUUGCAUCUCGUCUCUUGGCUAAGAGGUGAUUAUGUUUGAAUGAUGUGCUGGAGUACACGAGCGGCGGACGGGUGAGUAACGCGUAGGAAUAUACCCCAAACUGAGGGAUAACUGCUCGAA